UUUAAGUUAGUUCUAAGAAUGUAAGCUUGUCAGGCUUAAGGGUGAACUUAAAU
rnacentral:tRNA from 1 species